AAAGUGGAAUUCCUAGUGUAGCGGUGAAAUGCGUAGAGAUUAGGAGGAACACCAGUGGCGAAGGCGACUUUCUGGACUGUAACUGACGCUGAGGUACGAAAGCGUGGGUAGCGAACAGGAUUAGAUACCCUGGUAGUCCACGCCGUAAACGAUGGAUACUAGGUGUAGGGGGUAUCGACCCCCCCUGUGCCGGAGUUAACGCAAUAAGUAUCCCGCCUGGGGAGUACGGUCGCAAGACUGAAACUCAAAGGAAUUGACGGGGGCCCGCACAAGCAGCGGAGCAUGUGGUUUAAUUCGAAGCAACGCGAAGAACCUUACCAGGGCUUGACAUCCCGAUGACCGGUACAGAGAUGUACCUUCCCUUCGGGGCAUUGGAGACAGGUGGUGCAUGGUUGUCGUCAGCUCGUGUCGUGAGAUGUUGGGUUAAGUCCCGCAACGAGCGCAACCCCUAUCCUUAGUUGCCAUCAGUUAAAGCUGGGCACUCUAAAGAGACUGCCGGGGAUAACUCGGAGGAAGGUGGGGAUGACGUCAAAUCAUCAUGCCCCUUAUGUCCUGGGCUACACACGUGCUACAAUGGCCUGUAACAGAGGGAAGCGAAGCCGUAAGGCGGAGCAAAACUCAGAAACCAGGUCCCAGUUCGGAUUGUGGGCUGCAACUCGCCCACAUGAAGUCGGAGUUGCUAGUAAUCGCGAAUCAGCAUGUCGCGGUGAAUACGUUCCCGGGCCUUGUACACACCGCCCGUCACACCAUGGAAGUUGGGGGGACCCGAAGCCGGUGACCUAACCUUUUAGGGAGGAGCCGUCGAAGGUAAACUCGAUGACUAGGGUGAAGUCGUAACAAGGUAACCGUA
rnacentral:rRNA from 1 species